ACGAGGUGAUGACCUAUGAAUUGACAGCCAGUAACUGGAGCCUCUGCCUGUCAGUUCUGUAGGCCACUGCUGCGU
rfam:Tetraodon nigroviridis chromosome 7 SCAF14650, whole genome shotgun sequence.